ensembl:ncRNA F25G6.18 ncRNA
GUUCGCAUUUUCUCUGAUCCUCUGCACUUUACCAGUGAUAAUCAGUACUGUGUUUGUCGCUCGCGCGGAACGAUACGCGGAAAGAGAGGGAGCAAAGGGGAAGAGCUUGUUAACCUCUGAGGGCGCUGAGGUUAACAAGGAUUCGAUUUCAUCAGAAACAAGUUACUUU